UGGGGAAUCUUAGACAAUGGGGGAAACCCUGAUCUAGCCAUGCCGCGUGAGCGAUGAAGGCCUUAGGGUUGUAAAGCUCUUUCAGCUGGGAAGAUAAUGACGGUACCAGCAGAAGAAGCCCCGGCUAACUCCGUGCCAGCAGCCGCGGUAAUACGGAGGGGGCUAGCGUUGUUCGGAAUUACUGGGCGUAAAGCGCACGUAGGCGGAUUAGUCAGUCAGAGGUGAAAUCCCAGGGCUCAACCCUGGAACUGCCUUUGAUACUGCUAGUCUUGAGGUCGAGAGAGGUGAGUGGAAUUCCGAGUGUAGAGGUGAAAUUCGUAGAUAUUCGGAGGAACACCAGUGGCGAAGGCGGCUCACUGGCUCGAUACUGACGCUGAGGUGCGAAAGCGUGGGGAGCAAACAGGGUUAGAUACCCUGGUAGUCCACGCCGUAAACGAUGAAUGCCAGUCGUCGGGUUGCAUGCAAUUCGGUGACACACCUAACGGAUUAAGCAUUCCGCCUGGGGAGUACGGUCGCAAGAUUAAAACUCAAAAGGAAUUGACGGGGUCAUAGCUGUUUCCUG
rnacentral:rRNA from 1 species